rnacentral:rRNA from 1 species
CACGAACCGGGCAAACGUUAUUCGGAAUUACUGGGCGUAAAGGGCGCGUAGGCGGUUCGGUAAGUAGGAGGUGAAAUUUCGGGGCUCAACCCUGAAACUGCCUUCUAAACUGCCGAACUGGAGCACGGUAGAGGCAGAUGGAAUUCCCGGUGUAGCGGUUGAAUGCGUAGAGAUCGGGAAGAACACCAGUGGCGAAGGCGGUCUGCUGGGCCGUUGCUGACGCUGAGGCGCGACAGCGUGGGGAGCAAACAGG